rnacentral:rRNA from 1 species
UACGUAGGUGGCAAGCGUUAUCCGGAUUUACUGGGUGUAAAGGGCGUGUAGGCGGGGACGCAAGUCAGAUGUGAAAACCACGGGCUCAACCUGUGGCCUGCAUUUGAAACUGUGUUUCUUGAGUACUGGAGAGGCAGACGGAAUUCCUAGUGUAGCGGUGAAAUGCGUAGAUAUUAGGAGGAACACCAGUGGCGAAGGCGGUCUGCUGGACAGCAACUGACGCCGAGGCGCGAAAGCGUGGGGAGCAAACAGG